rnacentral:rRNA from 1 species
AACGCAGCGAAGGGCGAUAAGUAAUGUGAAUUGCAGAAUUCAGUGAAUCAUCGAAUCUUUGAACGCACCUUGCGCUCCUUGGUAUUCCGAGGAGCAUGCCUGUUUGAGUGUCAUUAAAUUCUCAAACCUCUCUCUCUAUUUAUAGGGGAGAGAGUCCUUUGGACUUGGAGUGUUGCUGGCUUCAUUUGUCAGCUCCUCUCAAAUGCAUUAGCUUGUUACCCUUGUGGAUAGGCUUUGGUUCGAUAAUGUCUAUGUCAUUGCCAUGAAACAAAUGUCAGCUUCUAAUAAAUCAUUCAUAAAAUUUGACCUCAAAUCAGGUAGGACUACCCGCUGAACUUAA